rnacentral:rRNA from 1 species
AUGGGGAAGACAUCUAAGCAGGCUUUGCUGGCGACGGGGAACACUGCGAGAUCUGAAGUGCGGAAGGCGGGGCUGUUGCUCUCGCAGGCUGCGGGGAUGCGUGGAUGGGCGCAUGAUGUUUCAUUGAGAGAGACGAGGGAGCGCCUGAUUGGCCAGUCUAUGGAGGCUCUGUCGAAUGCAGAAAUCUUGGCCUCACUGGAAGAGGAGGAUGCAAGGAGAGCGAUAGCUCAGGAAGCCAAGACUGAUCCAAAUGCCUACCAAGUGUGUGAUCAGGAGGAGGAUCAGCAGGAGCUCCUCUUGAUGGAGAAUAUGGCGGAUGAUGACGAUGAGUAUGUCAAGUGUGAAGCAGCAGCGCCUAAAGAGGCAUAUGAUCCAGCCUUUAUUCUUGAGAAUGACACGAUGACGCCGAGGAUCCUAGCGGACGCCGCUAAGGGGGAAAUCGGCCUGGCUGAUGAGGUGGCUGUGGCGACUAAAAGUGGACAGCAGAAGAAGAGAGUUAAUCUGUCGACUGAAGAAUUUUUGGCGUUACUGGAGGAGGAGCAAGCAGGAAGAAAGAUAGCCCAGGAAGCCAGCACUGGUCCAAAUGCCUACCAAUCCUGUGCUCAAUCGGAUGAUGAUUGGUCUGAUAAGGAGGAGCAGCAAGAGGUGAUGGAGCUCCUGAAGCAGAAUAUGGCGGAUGACUAUGAUGAGCGUGCCAAGUUUGAAGCAGCAGCGACUGAAGAGGCGGCUACUGAGGAUGAGAUAAGGAUGAUGAGGAUCUCUGAGGAAGCGACUGAGGUAGCUGCUGAGGAGGAGAUGAUGAUGAUGGGAUUGGGGGAUCUGGCCGAGGAGGACGCUGAGGAGCUGACCAAAAGUGGAGAGCAGAAUAAGAGGAGGAGGAGACGCAAUCGGUCCGCUCAUGACAUGAUGGUGGAAGCGAGAGACAAGCAAGGGAAACGUCCUCAGGAAGCCUUAACCGAUCCAUACGCCUACGAGGCCCGUGGUCACCGCAUAGAUUGGGACUGGAUCUUCGCCAGACACUACGGCCCCUUUGACCAGAUUACGUCCAUCCCACCCUCGUGUUUCACCCACCAUCGCUUCCCUAACCCCUAUGCCGAGCCACAGGAAACUCUUCAGAUCUUCUCGAUCAAAGUUGGAAAAAUAAAGAAGCCCCUAAAGUGGCCAUUGCAUGUUUUUGGUUCAGUAGCUGUACGGGAUGUGAUGGAUCACAAUCGCAUAAUGGUCUUCCAUCGGGAAAGGGAGAACUGCCAAACCCUCAUUAAGAAGGAUCGUUUUCUUACGCUGACAGGUCCUACCCGAGGAGUUGUGGUGGAUGUACAUCCUACCUAUAUUGAGGUUGAUCUGAAAGUAAAGGGCGCCACUGAAUUGGAGGAUAUGGAUUUAAGCUAUUUAGUAGUCAGGUCUAUGCCAUGCAGCCCGUCUUAUCGUGCUGUGCCUAGCAAGCUUAGCACAUUGGAGUUGACAUAUAUUCGGUUGCACAACUGUGUGGAAGCCGCAAUCAGUGUCAAAGUCAAAAAGCAUGGGUUAUGGCCUGGCUGCAGGGGAUUAUUCACUGCCAGCACAGCUAGUUACGAAGACAUGGAGAUUUUGUUGCUUGCUUUUGAAGGUGAUAGGUUGCCGGUUGAUGCUAGUAGAAGGAUUGAACUUUCACGACGUGUGGUCUGUGUCGAGCUUCAUCAGCCUGAAGGUAAGCUAGUAUUUUCGGCGAAGGCACUGCAUGGUAGUGAUCAGAAAAAUGUGAGGAGAGUUCGCAAGACUUUUACUCCCAAGAGAGCUGGUAAAAGCAAGGAGAAUAUUAAGAUUGGUUCCUGUGAGAUGGAGGUAACUGUCACAUGGUCCCUACUUCCCAGUUGCAAGUAUGACUAUGAUAAAUCUUUGGAAAGAGCUUAA